ACGACAAAUCUGAGAUAUAGCAAGCUGAGAUCGUAGCAAAAAGCCAUUUAACUUUUAAAUGUGUGUACAAAUAUCAGUAUACCUAUUCCUUUACGUUCCAAGGGUUUGCCUUGCCUAACUCUAGAUUUUGAAGUUAUUUAAGGUGGACGUAUCUUAAAAUAUUUGGUGCUGCUGGCCUUAAAAAAUUUAACAAUGACGGGACCUCAGACAAUCGCAGUUUAUGGCUUGAUCGGCGUUUUGAUCAUCAUCAUUAUAAUCAUUUCUAUUGUUCUGAUCGUCGGAUUGUAUACUAAUGAUCCAAAUCGAAGCACAACUGCAAAUAUGACUACAACUGAGGAAAACUGGAAGACUACAUGAGCGGAUGCUAAGUAUUUGAAUAUCUAAAACAUGUACAUAUUUUUCGGAUUAAAAUGUCUUUAUGUGCAAUUGUUUCUGGUGUAGAAAUACAAAAUAAAUUUUUCUUGUAAAGCAA